rnacentral:rRNA from 1 species
GCCCGCUCAAGAACUACAAAGGAAUGACGGGGCCCGCACAAGCGGUGGAGUAUGUGGUUUAAUUCGAUGCAACGCGAAGAACCUUACCUGGUCUUGACAUCCCGGAGACCCUUAGGAAACUAGGGGGUGCUUCCAUCUGGAAGAAUCUGGAGACAGGUGCUGCAUGGCUGUCGUCAGCUCGUGUCGUGAGAUGUUGGGUUAAGUCCCGCAACGAGCGCAACCCUUGCCUUUAGUUGCCAGCAGUUCGGCUGGGCACUCUAAAGGGACUGCCGGUGUUAAACCGGAGGAAGGUGGGGAUGACGUCAAGUCCUCAUGGCCUUUAUGACCAGGGCUACACACGUACUACAAUGGCCGAUACAAAGGGCAGCGACACUGCGAGGUGAAGCCAAUCCCGUAAAAUCGGUCUCAGUCCGGAUUGGAGUCUGCAACUCGACUCCAUGAAGUUGGAAUCGCUAGUAAUCGUGGAUCAGCAUGCCACGGUGAAUACGUUCCCGGGCCUU